AUGGAUUGUGUUAGUUGUACAGUGAAUAUGGUUUGCUGAAGAGUCAGCACAGGGAUACGUGGCUUACAAUCUAACACUCUAGCACUAACCCAUCUCCAUCAUAUCUCCAUUACAUUGCCUACCUUUCUUUCCUCUUCCCGUUUUAGAGGGAGAGAUGGACGUGCUUAUCAACCGGUCCACCGCCGCACCGGCGUCACCAUCAGCCACCGCUGCCUGCUUCUGAUUAGGAUAGUUUUGUUUGAGUGAGGAGAUGGAGUUAGUUACGCAAUCGUCCCAGUUUUUCAGUCCGAUAUCGCUGCCGCAAAGCGCAAUGGCGUUCACCGGAGCUCCGGUUGAGCGGUAGUUGUGAGUUCUUAUUUAGAAAUUGAAACGGGCCACCGGCUCUUUUGUUUAGAGUUAUGUUGGUUCGAUGUUGUGCGCUCUUGAUGUAAGCCCUAAUUUUAUGGAUGAUAUCUGAUGUUGUUUUACUUGAUGACGGUGAUGUAAACCCUAAUUUUUGGGGUGAUCUGAGGCUUGGAGACUGUGGCAGUGUAGGGCGGAAGCAAGUCGUUGCCGGCGGCCGUUUCAACUUCUAAGUUCUAUGACGAAGAUCAUUGAUGGUUUGAGUUCUGGGCGGUUAUGGACGCUCCCAUCAUUUUCCGGCCCAUCUUUCCCACUCAACACGGUUGCUACUAAACUGGGACGUGGGUAGAAUGCAGUUGACGACCUCUCUUAUAUAAUACAAACCCUUGCAUUCAAAUAUUCGUCUCCAUACAUCCUUCUAUUUGCAGUACAAUUCGCCUGUGAGCUUCCUAUACAACCCUAGCUCCAUCAUCAGAAAGGAAGUUCAAGAAGAUGAAUACCUUCAAUUAUCAAUGGCAGUUGCUCUACUCUUCUUCUCCUUGCUAGUCAGGGUUUAUUCAAAGGUGUUGUCACUAAUUGAGGAUGACCUGAUUAAAAGGUCUUAUUACUAGAUUCAAUUUAAUAUGUGCAUUCCACAUGUUCGAUGAAAUGUCUGUGAGAGAAUUUGAGGACUAAUUUUUUUCGAUUGAAGACGACACACGCGUUUAUCUCCUCCUCAAUCGUCAGUCCAGUGUUUGCAGGUUCUCGUAUUAUGUUACUCAGAUGCAUUUCUGAGAUGAACAGUUUUGGAAUGUGAGUAUGAUUCCAGUUGUUGGCAGGUUGCAUGGUUUAAAAGUUUGGAUAAAAUGUUGAGAGUUUGAGAAUUACUGGAUUUGCCCUUACGCUUUGGACCAAUGCUUGGAGGGCGCUUGAUGCUGUAGGAAUUGGAAAUACCCUGAGACAAGCAUCCACCCAAAUGAAAGGAUUCAAGAUCGCCUCUCCUGAUACUGGUCUGUUUACUUCUGAGCAAACACUUGAUAAAGAUGGAAAAUUUGAGGGUUACGAAAGCCGAUGCGUUAGAAGAAAGGAUUUACUAGAGACAAUAGUGAAGGAGCUGCCAUUGGGUACCAUUAGGUACUCUUCAAAGGUUGCAGCCAUCAAUGAACUCAGCCGCUUUAAGUUGGUUCACCUAGCUGAUAGGUCCAUUAUUAAAACCAAGGUGUUGAUAGGGUGUGAUGGAGUGAACUCAGUGGUGGCAAAAUGGUUGGGUCUUGAGACACCUGUAAGUGUUGGUAGAUCAGCUAUUCGGGGUUUGGUGGAAUUCCCAGAUGGCUCCGGCUUUGAUCCAAUGUUCCAUGUGAACUUUGGAGGCGGUGUUUGGUUUGGUUUUCUUCCGGUUGACGAAAAGACGGUUUACUGGUUUUGCACCUUCACCCCGUCUCAAGUUCCAACUUCCGAACAGUUAUGGAUUGGGCACUUUAUGGUUGCUUUUGGACUAGUGGACAAAUGUAGUGCAACUUCUUGCAUAAUAUAGCGUAUGUCAAGGGGUUAGAUGUGGAUGCUCUUCACAUUUCUCAUAGAGACACCAAAAUUAUCAUGCCAAUGGAAGAAUGUACCACCAGCCUGUUUGUGGGGAUGGGUUAAAGCAGAAGAGGGAGAGAUGGGUGAAGGUUUUUCCGGUGCUAGCUGCAUACUGAGGGUACAUAUAGAAGUAAGAGGAAAACAAGCUUGAUCUUGACCAUGACUAAUCAACAGUCAUCAACCUGUUGUUGAACUAUAACCGUGAAGGUAUUUCAAUGAGACCAUUUCAUGUUUUAGUACUCUAUUAGUUAUGUUUUCUAUUGUUUUGUGGUUGUAAACUGUUGACGUUCGUCUUCCUUUUAUAAAUUAAAGAAUAGUGCUUUUGUUUGUCAAGUUGUUUAAUUUUGUGCACACUAAAUAUAGGUUAGCUUUGUUUGUCACGUUGUUCAUAUAAUUUUGUGUAAUAUUUUAUUUCUUCAUGUUGUUAUAAUAUAAUACAUCAACGUAACCCGUCCACCGGACGGGUAUUAAACUAGUUGUAAUUGAGCUUGAUAAGUAGUUGAAAAAUGGAGAUCAAAUAUUUCUGAAAUAAGCUUGAGCUUGAGAGCUUGAUGUAAAAGCAUGAAGAGAAACCCAAUCAUCAUAACAUCAAGAUCCAUUGUUCCAAAGGAAGUCUUGGAAAGAUGGAAGAGCAUUCUGUGCGAGUCUCUGAUCAUGGAGUCUGAUAAGUUCUACUGCCCGUUUAAAGAUCGUUCUACGAUGUUGGUUGAUGACGGUAGGGUUACUGUGACACAAUCAGAAUGCCCGAAUUGCAACCGACUGAAAAUUUAAAAGAAAACAACUUAAAACAAAUGAAGCAAAAAAGACUUUAGGUCUACAACCCAAUCCAGCACGAAAAAGCUUCAAGCAACUGUUUUUUGCUAAUAUUGUAGACCUAAAGAUCUUUUGUGCUUCAUUUGUUUAAAAAUUCCUGUUUUUCUUUUUUGUUCUAUUUCAAUAAUUUUUAUAGAAAUUGAUCAGUUGGGUGUUUGGGCGGAGGUUUGAUCGAACCGAAUUCAAUAAGGUUUUGAACAAGAUGAUCGUGUUGAACAACAGAAGCAUUUUAUGGAACUUGCUUGCAAUUCUUGAAAAUGUAUUAUGUGUUUAAGAAAGUGUUUAUUUUUAGAUUUUCAGAUUUUAAUAGGUGUCCAAUUCAUCUGGUGGAUGAAGAAUUGAUUGGUUAUUACCUUAAAGGUAAGGUCCAAGGGCUUGAAAUCGAACUUGAAGUGAUUCCGUUGGUAGAAAUGUCCAAAUGUGAUCCAUGGGAAUUGCCCGGUGAGCUUUGUUUUUUUAACAAAAUUUGAUGGUUUUAAUGCAUGCAAGGUGUUUGCUUUAAUGCCUCAAUGAAAAAAUUCACUUCACAUGUGGUUGAAUUGAUUCGUUUUAAAGUCUCGGUGUGUCUUUUUCUUUUAUGUCAAGAUUAAGAACUGAGAUCAUGAAACUUUUAGAAAAUAAUAUGUUUAUAGAAUCUUUUUUUAUCUUUAAAGAUGGGUCAUGCAAAGUAUAUAAUCGUUUACUAUGCUAUCCUUGGCACAUAAUAUAUAAUCGUUUGCGUCGUUAGUUUGACCAUGUCUUUAAAAUGUAUAUAAUCGUUUACAUCGUUAGUUUGACGACGUCUAAUCAGCAUUAUAUGUCGUUCUGCGGAUUAGCGACAACAUAACUCUCUAAAUAUAAUUAUUGCGGACGGAUAUAAAUUGUUAUAAUCUAAAGGUGUUAUCGAAGAACUCGCGUCUGCGGUGGUUGGAGGAGUGGUGUCGUUGUUGUCGGUCAACGUGCCUGACAAAGAUGCUGAAAGAAGAUUCGAGUGAAAUUCUGCGGCUCCGAUUUUGACGAAUUUGAGUACGAUAGUGCCGAAAAACGGAUUCUGCGGCAUAAGUUUAUGGCGAGACAGUUGGCAAGAACAAGGUAGUUUUCUGAUCACGAGGGAGUUAUCAAUCCUUUUGGUGAUGCUAAAUAUGUAGAAUUAUGUUGGGUUUUUUGAAUAUAUCAUGACCACUUAUAAUAUUAAUACAAAUAUGAUGAUUAUCCACCUUUUUAUUCUUAAUAUAAAAAAGAUUCUAUAUCACAUUCAACUAUCCUAAAGCAUGGUAUGAAUGCCUCUAUUUUUAUCGUUUAUACAUUUUUUGAUAAACUUAAAAAACCUAACAGACGCCUUUUGGUAUUAGUGAUUGCAUGUUAGAGCCUCUGCUUUUACAGUUUGUACAUUUUUUGAAAGAAUAUGCUAGCAUAGUAGUUUUACUAUGCUCUUUUCGUUUUGCCAUUUCCUUUUGACAUCAGACGCCUUUAGUCCUUAAAAGACAAUAGAGGUGCCAUAAAAUUCAUUGUCAACGGGGUCUUCAAUAGAAAUACCGAAACAACAAAUACCGUUGGCACACCACCUGUCAAAUCCACCUCAGCUGCGACUCAAGCAACUCCAAUUCCUAACACACCAGCUGCAACCGAAGAUGAACACGCAUUCGCGAACAACUUUUCCAAACACCAGGUAUGUACUUAUACAGCUCACUAAUAAACUUACAUAGUUUAGCUCAUUUGACAGCACAAGGGUAUGACGUUGUAAUCAUAGUUUACAGUGUAAUGAAGCACAUACCCAACGCUGACUCCUGCUAUUAGCAUUGGGUUAGGCAUUGGAUAGAAAAAUGAGGUGUUCCUACUAGCAUGCCGGAGGCGAUGACGGCGCAGAAACGAAAUUUAAGUGCUAUAACACUCCCUUUCGGAAGCUGAUCGAGUUAUUGGUGGGUUGUUUCCCAAGUGGAAGAACAUAUCAUAGGAUAACAGGUUGAAUGGAGUUGAAGACAUAUUUCUAUGUAGGUCUCAUGGUGGUUAGGUUAGGCUCUGCUUCGAUGCCAGUUUCAAGUGUACAAUAUGUUCUCAUAUUCAUGUCAAGCCUUAUCUAUUUGAUAAAUGGAAAAAUAUAAGAUUGUCGUGUUAAAGAGGCGUGAAAAGAAAAAUAAGGGGCGUAUUGGGGUUAAACUAUUUGGUGAUUGUGAUGCGUUGCGGGAUUAAAUCUAGUAUAAUAUAAAUUGGUAACAUUUGUGGGCAUAAGGAGUUGCAACUUUAGCUUAUGUGUUUUGUGAUCUUGUACCAAGCCUGUUGCACUUUACAAAUCAUUUAUGCAACUUUUUGCCAAUUGGUGCCACAUUUCGUUGUGACUUACAAGGCACCGCCCUUUUUCUUGGUUUUGUUUUCAUUUUACCCACACAACUCAAAACCCUAGCGAGAGAUAAAGACAGAGUUAAGAGAGAUAGGGAUUUAGAAGUUUGAUGAUGAAGGUGGGUUGGCCAUCGCCUUCGGCCGAUCAUUCAGCUCUGGCGAACGACCGAGAUGCCACACCGGUAGUGUGAUUCAGUGGUCCUUCUUUCCGCGCCUGGGGUUCCAACGACUACACUCAUUAAUAUUACCCAUGUUCCCCUUCACUACCAUUCGAUCGUCAUUGCAUUCAUUGUGUUAAAUCUCCAAAUUUUGUUUCAGAUGCUUCUUCCCUGAUAUGAAGGUUUUUGGAGACCAUGCUUCCUGAAUUACGCGGUUCAGCAGGUGGAGAAAACAGGAAGCCACGUCGGUUUAAGCCUGGGACUCAGGUGCUACAUGAGAUUAGGCGUUUGCAAAAGAUGGUUGAAAAUUAGCGUUUUGAUUUGAAAAAUAGCGUUUGAGUUGUUGUCUUAGGGGAACCAUGGAGUACAACAAUAUCUCAUGAUGCCCAAAGUUAAAUACCUGGGAAGUAUUUUAAAUGCAUAUGGGCCUUCCAUUAUCUUCAAUAUUUGACACCUAUCUAAGGGACUAAACUUCAUGAACUAAUAAUUGAAAAAUUGAAACAAUGCAGUAUGCCUUGAUGUAUCCCUUAAUUGACAAAUGACAAGCAUAUAAAAUAACUAUUGGUAUCUUGCAUCUGGGUUAAAAAAAUAGAACACCCAUUAAAUUAUAGUUGAUAUUUCAUCUCCUUUUAUACUCCAGCAUCUGAAUGAAAAAAAUAUUCUAGGACAAAGCCUUUAAGAAAAGUACUAAUUGCUACAAAUAGAAGUAAGAUC